rnacentral:rRNA from 1 species
UACGUAGGGUGCGAGCGUUAAUCGGAAUUACUGGGCGUAAAGCGUGCGCAGGCGGUUCGCCAAGUCAGGUGUGAAAUCCCCGGGCUUAACCUGGGAAUGGCAUUGGUGACUGCACGGCUAGAGUGUGUCAGAGGGGGGUAGAAUUCCACGUGUAGCAGUGAAAUGCGUAGAGAUGUGGAGGAAUACCGAUGGCGAAGGCAGCCCCCUGGGAUAACACUGACGCUCAUGCACGAAAGCGUGGGGAGCAAACAGG